rnacentral:rRNA from 1 species
GUGGGGAAUAUUGGGCAAUGGGGGAAACCCUGACCCAGCAACGCCGCGUGAAGGAAGAAGGCCUUCGGGUUGUAAACUUCUUUUACCAGGGACGAAGAACGUGACGGUACCUGGAGAAAAAGCCACGGCUAACUACGUGCCAGCAGCCGCGGUAAUACGUAGGUGGCAAGCGUUGUCCGGAUUUACUGGGUGUAAAGGGCGUGUAGGCGGAGAUGCAAGUUGGGAGUGAAAUCCCGGGGCUCAACCCCGGAACUGCUUUCAAAACUGUAUCCCUUGAGUGUCGGAGAGGCAAGCGGAAUUCCUAGUGUAGCGGUGAAAUGCGUAGAUAUUAGGAGGAACACCAGUGGCGAAGGCGGCUUGCUGGACGAUAACUGACGCUGAGGCGCGAAAGCGUGGGGAGCAAACAGGAUUAGAUACCCUAGUAGUCC